GCAGUAGGGAAUCUUCCGCAAUGGACGAAAGUCUGACGGAGCAACGCCGCGUGAGCGAUGAAGGCCUUCGGGUCGUAAAGCUCUGUUGUUAGGGAAGAACAAGUAUCGUUCGAAUAGGGCGGUACCUUGACGGUACCUAACCAGAAAGCCACGGCUAACUACGUGCCACCACCCGCGGUAAUACGUAGGUGGCAAGCGUUGUCCGGAAUUAUUGGGCGUAAAGCGCGCGCAGGCGGUUUCUUAAUUCUGAUGUGAAAGCCCAUGGCUCAACCAUGGAGGGUCAUUGGAAACUGGGGAACUUGAGUACAGAAAAGGAGAGUGGAAUUCCACGUGUAGCGGUGAAAUGCGUAAAUAUGUGGAGGAACACCAGUGGCGAGGGCGACUCUCUGGUCUGUAACUGACGCUGAGGCGCGAAAGCGUGGGGAGCAAACAGGAUUAAAUACCCUGGUAGUCCACGCCGUAAACAAUGAGUGCUAGGUGUUAAGGGUUUCGAUGCCCUUAGUGCCGAAGUUAACACAUUAAGCACUCCGCCUGGGGAGUACAACCGCAAGGUUGAAACUCAAAGGAAUUGACGG
rnacentral:rRNA from 1 species